rnacentral:rRNA from 1 species
ACUCAAAGGAAUAGACGGGGGCCCGCACAAGCGGCGGAGCAUGUUGCUUAAUUCGAGGCAACGCGAAGAACCUUACCUGGGUUUGACAUGCAGGGAAAUCCGGCAGAGAUGUCGGGUCCGUAAGGGUCCUGCACAGGUGGUGCAUGGCUGUCGUCAGCUCGUGUCGUGAGAUGUUGGGUUAAGUCCCGCAACGAGCGCAACCCUCGUCCUAUGUUGCCAGCGGGUUAUGCCGGGGACUCAUAGGAGACUGCCGGGGUCAACUCGGAGGAAGGUGGGGAUGAGGUCAAGUCAUCAUGCCCCUUACAUCCAGGGCUGCAAACAUGCUACAAUGGCUGGUACAAAGGGCUGCGAAAUCGUGAGGUGGAGCGAAUCCCAAAAAGCCGGCCUCAGUUCGGAUCGGGGUCUGCAACUCGACCCCGUGAAGUUGGAGUCGCUAGUAAUCGCAGAUCAGCAACGCUGCGGUGAAUACGUUCCCGGGCCUUGUACACACCGCCCGU